rnacentral:rRNA from 1 species
AUUGAACGCUGGCGGCAGGCUUAACACAUGCAAGUCGAGCGGGGGAAGGUAGCUUGCUACUGGACCUAGCGGCGGACGGGUGAGUAGUGCUUAGGAAUCUGCCUAUUAGUGGGGGACAACAUCUCGAAAGGGAUGCUAAUACCGCAUACGUCCUACGGGAGAAAGCAGGGGAUCUUCGGCCCUUGCGCUAAUAGAUGAGCCUAAGUCGGAUUAGCUAGUUGGUGGGGUAAAGGCCUACCAAGGCGACGAUCUGUAGCGGGUCUGAGAGGAUGAUCCGCCACACUGGGACUGAGACACGGCCCAGACUCCUACGGGAGGCAGCAGUGGGGAAUAUUGGACAAUGGGGGGAACCCUGAUCCAGCCAUGCCGCGUGUGUGAAGAAGGCCUUAUGGUUGUAAAGCACUUUAAGCGAGGAGGAGGCUACUCUAGUUAAUACCUAGGGAUAGUGGACGUUACUCGCAGAAUAAGCACCGGCUAACUCUGUGCCAGCCGCCGCAGUAA